ACGCUCGACACCUACGGAAGGCAGCAGUGGGGGAUAUUGCGCAAUGGGGGAAACCCUGACGCAGCAACGCCGCGUGAAGGACGAAGGUUUUCGGAUUGUAAACUUCUUUUGUCAGGGACGAAGAAAUGACGGUACCUGACGAAUAAGCUCCGGCUAACUACGUACCAGCAGCCGCGGUAAUCUGAGCGGGCUGGCAAGGC
rnacentral:rRNA from 1 species